GCCAGUGUGGUGUAAUGGUUUGAGUGUUGGACUAUGACUCUGGAGACCAAGGUUUGAUUCCCAGCUCAGCCA